rnacentral:rRNA from 1 species
AGCGUUGUUCGGAUUUAUUGGGCGUAAAGCGCACGUAGGCGGAUCGAUCAGUCAGGGGUGAAAUCCCAGGGCUCAACCCUGGAACUGCCUUUGAUACUGUCGAUCUGGAGUAUGGAAGAGGUGAGUGGAAUUCCGAGUGUAGAGGUGAAAUUCGUAGAUAUUCGGAGGAACACCAGUGGCGAAGGCGGCUCGCUGGUCCAUUACUGACGCUGAGGUGCGAAAGCGUGGGGAGCAAACAGG